rnacentral:pre_miRNA from 17 species
UGUUUUGCUGUUGUCGGGUGGAUCACGAUGCAAUUUUGAUUAGUUUAGAAGGAGAAAAAUUGCACGGUAUCCAUCUGUAAACCGCAGG